rnacentral:rRNA from 1 species
UGGCGGCGUGCCUAAUACAUGCAAGUCGAGCGAACAGACGAGGAGCUUGCUCUUCUGACGUUAGCGGCGGACGGGUGAGUAACACGUGGGUAACCUACCUAUAAGACUGGGAUAACUCCGGGAAACCGGGGCUAAUACCGGAUAACACAUGAAACCGCAUGGUUUCAUGAUGAAAGACGGUUUUGCUGUCACUUAUAGAUGGACCCGCGGCGUAUUAGCUAGUUGGUAAGGUAACGGCUUACCAAGGCAACGAUACGUAGCCGACCUGAGAGGGUGAUCGGCCACACUGGAACUGAGACACGGUCCAGACUCCUACGGGAGGCAGCAGUAGGGAAUCUUCCGCAAUGGGCGAAAGCUUGACGGAGCAACGCCGCGUGAGUGAUGAAGGUCUUCGGAUCGUAAAACUCUGUUAUUAGGGAAGAACAAAUGUGUAAGUAACUAUGCACGUCUUGACGGUACCUAAUCAGAAAGCCACGGCUAACUACGUGCCAGCAGCCGCGGUAAUACGUAGGUGGCAAGCGUUAUCCGGAAUUAUUGGGCGUAAAGCGCGCGUAGGCGGUUUUUUAAGUCUGAUGUGAAAGCCCACGGCUCAACCGUGGAGGGUCAUUGGAAACUGGAAAACUUGAGUGCAGAAGAGGAAAGUGGAAUUCCAUGUGUAGCGGUGAAAUGCGCAGAGAUAUGGAGGAACACCAGUGGCGAAGGCGACUUUCUGGUCUGUAACUGACGCUGAUGUGCGAAAGCGUGGGGAUCAAACAGGAUUAGA